GACGUAGGGCGCGAGCGUUGUCCGGAUUUAUUGGGCGUAAAGAGCUCGUAGGCGGUUUGUCGCGUCGUUCGUGAAAACUCACAGCUUAACUGUCAGCUUGCGGUCGAUACGGGCAGGCUAGAGUUCGGUAGGGGAGACUGGAAUUCCUGGUGUAGCGGUGAAAUGCGCAGAUAUCAGGAGGAACACCGGUGGCGAAGGCGGGUCUCUGGGCCGAUACUGACGCUGAGGAGCGAAAGCGUGGGGAGCGAACAGG
rnacentral:rRNA from 1 species